GGAGAAAUGGCAGAGCGGUUAAUUGCGACGGUUUCGAAAAUCGUUUGAACUUUAUUUAGGUUCACAAGGGUUCGAAUCCCUUUUUCUCCA
rnacentral:tRNA from 1 species